AAUCCAUAGGUUAAUGAGGCGAACCGGGGGAACUGAAACAUCUAAGUACCCCGAGGAAAAGAAAUCAACCGAGAUUCCCCCAGUAGCGGCGAGCGAACGGGGAGGAGCCCAGAGCCUGAAUCAGCAUGUGUGUUAGUGGAAGCGUCUGGAAAGGCGCGCGAUACAGGGUGACAGCCCCGUACACAAAAGCGCAUGUGCUGUGAGCUCGAUGAGUAGGGCGGGACACGUGGUAUCCUGUCUGAAUAUGGGGGGACCAUCCUCCAAGGCUAAAUACUCCUGACUGACCGAUAGUGAACCAGUACCGUGAGGGAAAGGCGAAAAGAACCCCGGCGAGGGGA
rnacentral:rRNA from 1 species